CAAUAAAACUUGACUCCCACCCACCAACAAUGUGGCAGUGUCAUUCACCCCUACUAGACGGUUCACUGCUAUUGACAUGCGAUUUUGGUCAGCAGUUGUUGUGUCCACCACUCUGCUCUCAGAAAGCUCUUGGAUGCUGUUUGUGCCGAACUGUGCCCACCCCCUCACCUACACGUACAGUAACUGGCCAUCUUUACCUUGAGCUCUGCAAAUAAGGAUCUUCCAGAGUCUUUGAAAGGAGGACUGAAGAUCUGAACAUCAGUUUUGAAGCAGUGGCCAGUUUGUUUAGAGGACCUGACUGAAAAUGUCCAUAAAGAGGAGACUACUCUCCAUGUUGUUGUGCUGUGCGUAUUGCGUGGCAUCACUCUUCUGCCUUCACCCAGACAGAAACAACUGUGUCUCGCAUGGUGCCCGGAAUCGGGUAUCACUUGUUCAGCAGCUGUACCAACGUGUGAUGAGGCUUCUACGCACCACUCUGUGAGUUGUCUCAAACUAGAGGGGAGGUGAAACCACAAGGAUCAUCUACAGACUACUUAUCAAGAGACAGAUCAGUAUUACUGAUAUAAAAUGACAGACAUUUGAGCAUGAACACUUUAAAAGAUAUUCCCCAACAUGGUUAAAGGUGCCUCUCCUUGUAAGAAAGGUUGAAGAGUGCAUUGGGAAUGAUACUGGCGUGGCUUUGUGGGAGGGUAGUCCUGAUAAAGAAGGAAUGUUUUGCUUGUAGUAAAACUGCAAUAUGCUAUAUCAGAACUUAAAUGAUGAUCCUCAUGACAGUAUUUAGACCAAAUGCUUAGACUAUAUAGAGACAAGAUGUGAUUCUUUGGUUGAACAAAGAUACAUUAUUAUGAAUUAACAAAGAUUUUUUUCUUUGCAGUCUUUAAAGUAAAGCUGAGGUGUGACUGACAGAGUUUCUUAUACCACAACCUUCAUAAUCCUGAGGGAUAAUUGUUAUAAAAGGUUAUCUGUAAAAAGUUAUAUGUACAAGGUCUGUUGUGAGAAUGUACAGCAUUUGGCCAGACAUGCUGUACAUAAUAAAUUUUUCUUUCUGUAUUUUAUUUUCUUACACCUUGUUUUACAGGGAAAGGAGUGCAGACUGUUGAAUACUUUAUUUUACUCCUGAAUGAGUGACACAAAAUGUCAAAAUGUUUAAAAAUGAAA